rnacentral:rRNA from 1 species
AUUGAACGCUGGCGGCAUGCCUUACACAUGCAAGUCGAACGGUAACAGGUCUUCGGAUGCUGACGAGUGGCGAACGGGUGAGUAAUACAUCGGAACGUGCCUAGUAGUGGGGGAUAACUACUCGAAAGCGUGGCUAAUACCGCAUGAGAACUACGGCUGAAAGCAGGGGAUCGCAAGACCUUGUGCGACUCGAGCGGCCGAUGGCAGAUUAGGGAGUUGGUGGGAUAAAAGCUUACCAAGCCGACGAUCUGUAGCUGGUCUGAGGGGACGACCAGCCACACUGGGACUGAGACACGGCCCAGACUCCGACGGGAGGCAGCAGUGGGGAAUUUUGGACAAUGGGCGCAAGCCUGAUCCAGCAAUGCCGUGUGCAGGAUGAAGGCCUUCGGGUUGUAAACUGCUUUUGUACGGAACGAAAAGCCCUGGGUUAAUACCCUGGGGUCAUGACGGUACCGUAAGAAUAAGCACCGGCUAACUACGUGCCAGCCGCCGCCGUAA